UCCACACAGCUUUCUCUUUUUUAAGUUAAAACGUUUCAACAUUCCUCAGAAUGUAAAGACAGAGAAGCGGUAUGAAAACCUUCUGAGGUGGCUCCUGGAUAAUGAUGUCGGCUACGCCCUCUACCUGAUGAAAAAGGUAGAAGAGGAGGAGAAAGACGGGACCUUCAACCCCCAGGGACAGCCUGCUUUCCUUACUGGACUACGCCAGGAGCUUUCAGGAAAAUGAGGACCUACGGCAGUAGGCCUACCUCUUUUCCAGGAAGCCUGCACCACCAGUGGCCUCAGAGGGUGACGAUAUUGUUGGCUUUGGAGCCAGGGCCAAGGACACCUGGAAGCAGAUCUGGGAGAGCAGAGUUGAUGGUUAUGCUGCCUUCAUCAAAGGAGUGAAGUGCAUCAAAAAAGCAAGAUCUACAACCUGCAGCAGUACAUCCUCAGGCAGCAGACGACAGAGUCCGCUCCACCACCUGCUACAUCAGCUGCAGUCAACGCUACAUCGGCUGCCUCUGUGACAACACGUAGCACUCUAGUGAUGGAGGAGGAUGAGGAGCUGGACAGAGAGAUGUUAAAUCUGUCUCCAUCUAAAUGGCCACCAGCAGCAUUCUCAGGGCCAUGUCUGUGUCUCCAUCAACAGUCCUGUGUCUUACAGCACGCUGGACUAAGCCUACUGCUAAUGUUUCCAGACCUGCGGAGCCCGAUUACCCCGCUGUGACUUUUGCUUCUGUGAAAGGUUAUUAUAUUUGUUAUUUCAGACAGAUAAACGGUAUGAAAAUCUUCCAGAUGUGUUUUCCUCUGCCUGCUAAUUGUUUCAGCACUAAUAUUGUAUCUGUUUAUAGAUACACUACAUACUGUACAUUUCACUACCUGGUUCUCUCAAGAAAGUAAGUUCAGGUUUCAGCUGUUUCAACAAAAUAUCUUGAAAGCAAUAUGUGAUUGUCUUUACUUGGGUAGUAACAGUUAUAGAAAAUUAAAUAAUCAAAAUAUCUAUAUAUUCAUAUGCUGAGCUAGAUAGACAUCUAUUGGUGUGCCUUAAUAUAGACCUUUCAUAAGUCAAACUGUGCAUUAUAUGUGGAAAUCUACAUCUUAAUUGCAUAUUCCAGUACAAGCCUGUUUUUUGAUUGUUUUAUGUGAAGAAAUUAUAGUAUAGAAAUAAAAUUGAUUAUUAGUAAGUUCA